UGUUCAAUGCUCAGAAGCCCACAUACCUCAGCCCCUGUCAAGGGGGCGAGAAACGAGGCAAAGCAGCGGCUUUGGGGGAGGCGGUGUGAGGGAUCGAAGACUAGUUCAGGCGAGGCGUCAGGACACCCCAAACCCCACUGUUCCCCAAGCCCGGCUCCCUUUAGCCGCGGCGCUGACAGCUCAGAGGCGCCACCACUGAGGGGAGGGAGAGAAGGCGAGAGAGAGCCGAGAGGCGCCUCCUAGGAGGCGGGUGGGCAAACGGAGACCUGCGCCUCGGGGUCUCCCGGUGCCCCGGCUGGCUCCCGGCCGCCGGCGGAGGGGCGCGUCCUCACUCACCGGUUCCGGUGGCGCCGCUCUCCCAGGGCGCCCAGCACAGCGCGAGCAGCAGCCAGAGCGCCCAGCGCGCGGACGUGCCCAUGGUGCCCGCCUGGAUGGUGCCGCCGCCGCCGCCGCCGCCGUUCGCUCCGCACAACAAGUUACCAGCCCUUCCGAAAGGAGGAAGAAGGCUCCAAGCUUGAUAUAGAAGACUAUCAUACCCAGAGAGGGUAACUGAAACAAAAGAAAUUACUCCAGCAUCAAGCUAAAGACACGCCUUAAAGGAUGAGGAGGAGCAGAAAUCUUACCAGCAAGGCCAGAAAGAAGCUGUGCAUGAACAGCGUCUACUUUAGGCUCAGAUGGGAAAGAAGUUUACAGGAGACAAUCACUCUUAUACUCGUCCAUGGUCACAAACAAGAGGUCCCUGGAUCUAUAGGUCAUCUUGCCCCUGAAAUGGACCUGGAAAGCUAUGGCUGGAGAAUGGAGGAAAAGAUCACUUUCUCUGUUUCUUCAGACCAGGCAUCAGUUGGGAUGUUGGGAUGUCGAUAAAAGGAAAUCUCAUCCUUUGUUUUCUGCCUAUGCUCUCACCAUACCCAUUCCCAUGUCUGGUCGUCGUAGCGUCCAUCACAGCCCUUAACUGAAUCAUAUUGAAUACAGGAUGGUGUGAAUAUCAUGGUUUGAAUACAAGCAUGGUCCGUCCAUGUGGAUUGUUUUUUGCAGCCCACUUAGACUUAAGCCCUCUUAAUUUCAAAUUUAUUUUUGUAUGUGCCAAUAGAGCUGUCCCUAGAUGAACUG